rnacentral:tRNA from 1 species
ACGGAAUUAGUUUAGAGGCUAAAAUAUCUCGCUUCCAACGAGGAGUCAUCGGUUCGAGUCCGAUAUUCCGUA